UCCAUGUUGCUACAAAGGGCCAUAUUUCAUUCUUUCUCAUUGCCACGUAGUAUUCCAUUGUGUAUAUAAACCACAAUUUCUUUAUCCAUUCAUCAGUUGAUGGACAUUUAGGCUCUUUCCAUAAUUUGGCUAUUGUUGAGAGUGCUGCUAUAAACAUUGGGGUACAAGUGCCCCUAUGCAUCAGUACUCCUGUAUCCCUUGGAUAAAUUCCUAGCAGUGCUAUUGCUGGGUCAUAGGGUAGGUCUAUUUUUAAUUUUCUGAGGAACCUCCACACUGCUUUCCAGAGCGGCUGCACCAAUUUGCAUUCCCACCAACAGUGCAAGAGGGUUCCCGUUUCUCCACAUCCUCACCAGCAUCUAUAGUCUCCUGAUUUGCUCAUUUUGGCCACUCUGACUGGCGUGAGGUGAUAUCUGAGUGUGGUUUUGAUGUAUUUCUCUUUUCAUUACAUUUUGAGAAGCAAAAUUUUAAACAAUUUUUCAUUCAGUCUAAGCAAUACCAAAUAUCUUGAUGAUAGAUUAACAAAAAAGUUUUAGAUAUCUUUUCCUGGAGUCCUUCUCCUUUAUUUAGAUGACAAGCCGUAGAAUUUUAAGGUUGAAGGGUACCUUAAUGUUUGACACAUACCUGUGUAGCUUUGGUAACUUGGUGGGUUUUUCUGCUCUGAAUGGACAUGCACAUGAUGGGCACUAAAUUAAUGGAGAAAUGUGAAAUGAAUGACUAAUAAGACCUUUUUCUGACCUCACAGAGAACUAAAAUGUUGAGUUGUCAGGUUAUUUGUGGCUACAAAAAUAAUACUGGCAAAUAGUCUGGGGCUAUCAAAUUCAGUUCCGUCUGUAAUUGAAUUAGAGACCCACAUCCUUUUCUCCAGGGAGAUGGGUGUACCAAACCCUGCCUUUGACAGUGUUUAGUAUUACACAAGAUUUCAGCCAAUGAACAAAGUUUCUAUUUAUGGAAAAUGUCAAGGGUGAUAAGCAUGAAAGAGUAGUAAUAUCAUUAUUUUCUAUCUAACUUACUUAAUAAUUGGAUAUGAACAGUGAGAAAAUUUCUGCCAAACAAAUACAAAUGUUCUGUCUUAAGAAAUUGAGUUAAAGUUUCAAAGGUUUGUGGAAUCCUAAAAAUCCAAAACCAAUGCAAAACGAACACUUCAGAUGGGGGCAAUGGUAGGUAGAAAGUCCCAUGGAAAUGUGCACAGGUUUUAUGUCAAAAAGAAAAGCAUUCUUGAACAGCUAGUCCUCCCCUGCAUGGGGCUGGUGUAUUUUUGAGAAUUUGCAUGUCGUCACUUCCAAAAGGAAUAUUUUGUGGUCUCUUCCAGUCGCUUCCAUCCCUGCAUGCUCACGUGCACGUGCGCACACUUGUUCCAGGAUUGUAGUUCCUGGACUCUGAAUUCCUCAGCGUCACAGAGUUUGCAUGUCCCAUCUACAGCCCUGAGUCUGGCAUAGCCCAGUUGCUCACCAAAUGUGCAUGAUGGAAUGAAAAAACAAACCUGCCAAAGCAUACCAGAACAAAGGGUUCAGGUAGGUGAUUCUGUCAUUACCAUCUCCACUGUCAGAUGAGAAGACAGGCUGGUGAAAGUUGAGACUUGUUCAAGAUUGGACUGUUGGUGACAGAGCCAAGACCUGAACUCAGAUCUCUUGUUCCUAGAAUUAGGUUCUCUUAACAGAAGAAGAAAAUGAACUUAUGCAUCUUUAAACCUCUAUAUCCAUAUCAUAAAUGUGAAUUUAUUAGUAUUGGCAAGGUUAUCUUUCAUUCUAUAUUUAUUAAUACCUUGUCUCAUUUCCCAAAUAAUUCAAAACAUCCGAUGGAUGUACAAUGAGAGAGAAAAAGAGAAAGAAAGAGAGAGCGGGAAAGACUAAAGAUCACAUACUGGGAAAAUAUACUCUAGAAGUAUAAUAAGUAACACUUAGUACUGUAUGCCAUAUAUUGUUCUAAGUGCUUUACAUAAAUUAACUCAUUUAAUACAAACAAUGACUCUGUGAGGUGGGUACUUACUAUUAUCCCAACUUUACAAUCAUAGGAAAUGAAGCACAGAGAAUUCCAGUAACUUUCUCAGGUCACAGAGCUAAUAUGCAGUGAAGCCUGCAUGUAAACCUAAGUAGUUGUGGGCCUGAAUCUUAAUGCAUGUUACUAUCCUGCCUGCUAAAUAUAUCCUUGGGAUCUGUACUGCUCUAACUACUGUCUCCAGAUCCAGGCCCUGAGAAGCUAUGCCCCUGAAUCUACCCUCACACUUGGUUCCUUUUUGCAGACUGAUUAUGCUUCCACUUUGGUUGUUGUGUUCUUGAAGUCAUUCUUUGGUUUAUUUGGCAUAAUGAAAUCUAUAACGUCUCGUUUUUAAAUAACUAUCUAACUUCACUGAAACCCUUGUCAGCUUUAAUAGGAUUCAGGGCAGAAGAUUUUGAGCAAAAACAGUGCAAGCUACAGACAUGUGUGCAUUUUGCUAAAAGGACAGCCUCCUCUAUUUUGGAAGAUUUUUCUGUCUGAUGGAGUUGUCUGCUCAUAAGGAUCCUUGAGGAGGGAAUGUCGGAGGUAUGUGUAUGCUCCACACACCGUUUACCAUCCCUCCUCUUCCUAAUGCAACCUGGAAAGUGGGCUGCCAAGUCCUCAGGAGGGGCCAGCUCUUCCGUUGUCCCAGGAGGUGAAUCUUGAUUCCAUUCCCCACCCUGGUGAGUGGUUUAGAAACAGGUGAAUCAUUCCAUUCUUGCUAAUGCCACACUGUAACCAGGGCACAGGGGUGCAAGAGCGCCUGGCUCUGAGGGUCCCAAACAGAUCAGGUUCGGCCACUUGCUGCUGACAGACGCCAAAGGUAUGAUGUGGAGUGGUGGUGAAACAAGAGGGAAUUUAUUUCAGUGAGGCCAACACUGAGAAGACAGAGGACUAGCAUAUCAAAGACAGUCUCCAAUGUGCUGAAAAUGCUUCCAGGUUUAUAUACGGAAAACACGGGACAAAGGUCAGUGGGUACAUGCAGGUGGAUGGUAAAGGUUAGGCUGAUCAUUGUCUUGGGGUCAAUCAUGUGGGGUCUUGCCAAUGUCAGAGCAGUCCUUAGUACCUGAGGGUUCCUGUCACAGCAUGAUUUGCCUGCAGGGUCUUUUGCCUGAGUUAAGAGAUAAGCUGGAAAGAGGAACUUAAUCAGUCAGAAAGUACAGGCUGAGGUCAAAAUGGAGGUAGUUGAAGUCCUCUUUUAACACGAGACAAGGUCUACUAGGGGACUUCUGGGAGAAUGUUCCUGGAACUUAAAAAGGGAUGCAUGAAGGAAAUGAUUUCAUCUUUCAACCUUUGGACAUUAAUGUGUAAGAGUGUAGGGAUUAGAACCACAGCAACCCUUUGACCAUGAGUGGAUUAAUCUGAAGAGAUAAACCUUCAUGCUGAGAAUGGGGGAGCAGGAAUUUGGAAAAGAACAUGGAUCCCUGAUGAUGUCAUUGAGCUGCUGAAUUAACCAACCUAUAACACCUUCACUCUGUUACUCUGUGUUUUUUAAAUUAUUUUUAAAAUUUUUUAAAUGUUCAUUUAUUUUGAGAGAGAGAGAGUGAGUGGGGGAGAGGGAGAGAGAAUCCCAAGCAGGUUCCACCCUCGGUGCAGAGCCCAACACGGGGUUUGACCUCAUAAUCAUAAGAUCACAACCUAAGCUGAUAUCAAGAGUCAAUGCUUAGCAAACUGAAUCACCCAGGCACCCCUCUAUUACUCUGUUUUAAUAUGUGAGAUCUUACAUCUCUUAACUGUUUAAGCCAGUUUCAGUUGAGGCUUCUGUUACUUGCAGCAAAAAACAUCCAAAAUAACACAGAGGAACAUACAUGUAAGACAUGAGGUACAUGUCUUACGUGGCUCGGCAGAAAUACUAGUUUCUUAUUGCUGGUAUAACACAUUUCCACAAACUUUGGCUUUCAACAACACAAAUUUAUUCUCUUACAGCUCUAGAGGUCAGAAGUCCAAAUUCAAGCUAUUGGCAGGGCCGAGUUCCUUCUGGAGGUUUAGGAGAGAAGUAGUUGCCUUGCCUUCUUUGGCUUCUAGGACGUCCUACAUUCCUUGGCCUUGGCCCCGUCUUCCCAUCACUGGAGUCUCUUGCUUCCAAGAGCACAUCUCCCGCUACUGACUUGGCUGUCCUUCUGCCUUCUUAUAGGGACACUAGACCUCACUGGAUAGUCCAGGAUAAUCUCCCCAUCCCCUCAUAAGAUAGAAAUCUAAGACCCCUAUCUUAAUCACAUCUACAAAGUUCAUUGUGCCUUGUAAGGUAGCAUAGUCACAGGUUCUGGGGAUUACGACAUUAACGUCAUUGGGGAGAGGGUCAUUAUUCAGCCUACCACAUCAGGUAAACUGAGCCAACCCCGGGAGAGUGGCCAUCACAGCCAGAUCACCGUAUGUACCUGGGGAGGGAACAGCAUGAUGAAGACGUUGUUAAACUGCCAUUAUUGUCUCCUUUAUUUUCCGAGUCUCAGCCAAAAUCUUUCUCUUUGCAAGUGAUUGUAUCUUAGCCCUAAUUUAGCCCAGAAUGAUCAAUCCUUCUUGCUUCAUCUCCGUAAUAAUGACAUUUGACAUUUAAAGUGAGCCGUUAUUCUAUGUACUAUUUUAAGAACUUUAUCUGCACUAAAGAAAUUAAUCCUCAUAAACCUCUGUAAUUGUUGCUACUUAUAUACCCAUUUUAUAGAUGAGCAAAUUUGACUUCAUUUGUGUCAAUUCACGCAGCUUACUAUGAGUGCUUAUUUUUUCGGCUUAUGUAGGAGCCUGUGAUGUGGUUUCUCUUCCAGAAAUAGAAAAUAAAUUCAAGUUCUUACCACUGAGGACCAGUUAGGAUGAUUUUAGUUGCAAUUUUCACCAUAUCCAUGGGGGUUAAACAAUUAAGAGUUUAUUCUCUCCAAAAAGAAGCCCAGAGUUAGGAUUGCAGGGUGGGUUAAUUCAGCUGCUCAGUCAUGUCAAGUUUCCUUUUAUUAGGGAGGAAAGCCUCUUUCCAAAGCCCCUAAGCAGUGUUUCUCUUUUGGGUUGAUCCCUGCGCUAGUCACUGGCCAAGAGGAAUGGCCCAUCAUGACUCAUGCUUGGGCCUCAGCCUAACUGCUGUGAGCACAUUGCUGCCUGAUCCCUGAAUGAGACCAGGGGUCUAUUAGCAAAGAGAGAAGAGAAGGAACCAAGGGGCACACACACCAUAGAAAGUAGCAUGGAAGCUAAAACCUACGAAACAACCCUAUAACUGAUCUCAAGGUAUCUCCCGCCACUUGGAACAAAUAGGACCUGGGCCCAUUCAUUGCUUUGAUCCAAAGCAGACUUUAGAGUUACUCUUCGGCUGGGACUAGUGUGGUAGUGCAUAUAAGUCAGGGGGCAUGCUGUCACCCAAGUGAACAGAGUGUCAUUGGAAGCAGUGUUUGACUCCCUCCUUGUCAAUGCAACUCAAAGGGUCCAUGUAGUAAACAGUUGUAGUAACUUGGAAGACAGUAUUAUUUUCCUAAGGAAGGAAAAUUUCUCAUCAUGGACCAAAUAUGCACUAUUUCAGAUAGGGACCUUUCAUAUUCACUGAAUAAUUUUUUUGAAGUUACUUUCUACAAUUUUCCCCCAAAUAACCUAUUUCACCAACAGUAAAGCACAUGAUACCUCAUUUAUCUUCCUGUAGCAGAGCAGAGCUGAGUCAAACCUUCACUGCCAAGCAGGCUCCGGGGGCCGAGCCAGAGUCUGUGCUCAGCAAGCUCAGGCCUCCCGUCCCCACAGUACCAGCUCCUGUCAGGAUCCGACUCUGGACCUUUAGCUCAUAUGUCAUAGUUAGUGAACAACCCAUUCCUGUAUCAAUGUCCCUGUUGCUAUUGAACCACAUUCAUGUUCAUUUCUUCAGAAAAGGAGGAUUGUUUAGCCUGGAGUUUCCAUCAUAUGGACGUGCGUAUUGAAGCCAUGUGUCCAGUCUUACUGUCUGAACAUCCCAACAAAGCUAAGAGCAGCCACUUCACCAUUAAUCAGCAAUCAGAUGAAGAGCUGACUUCGGAAGAGAACUUCUCUUGCUGCUGUGGCCUGCCCCACACUCUGGCACACUGAAGGACAGGUGGGCAGGAAUCGGUUGGCCUGUUCAAAACAGUAAAUGAUGCAAGUGGCAGGACGCAUCUUGCUUUGCCUUUGACUUGCAUCACGGUGUCUCUUUUCUCCACUGCCAUUUUUGUUUUUCCUGUGUGGAUCAAAGUCUCAGGAGUAAUUACCCCUCAGUAAGCUCAGUAGUGCCCUUUGUACAGGUGGGGUCCUCGUCAUUUGAGCCAGAGGAUGGUUAACGUGUACAUAUAACAUUACACAGAGUCCAAUACUUUUCUGAUAACUCCUAUAAAUUGUCUUUAAAUUUUUUUUUAAUGUUUAUUUAUUUUUGAGAGAGAGAGGGACAGAGUGCGAGCAGGGGAGGGGCAGAGAGAGAGAGAGGGAGACACAGAAUCUGAGAUGUCAGCACAGAGUCUGAGGUGGGGCUCAAACUCACAAACUGCAAAAUGAUGACGUGAGCCAAAGUCGGAUGCUUAACUGACUGAGCCACCCAGGCACCCCUCCUAGUCAAUUGUCUUGUGGGUCAGCAAAGCCAAGGAUGAGGUUAAAUGGGAAGGGCUGGUUUGGGGCUUUUUUGCCUGUUCAGUUGCAUGGAUGCCCCCAUAGGUCACCUCUCUAGCCUGUGGAGCAGUGACAAUGCAAUGUGUUGCACACCUUGGAGUUGCCUUCAUUCUUUCCACCAGGACUUGGCCAAAACACUCAGGCACUAGAGCAUCUGGGAACAGCCUUCUCUGUCCCGGUCAUCUAUGUAGAAAGCUAAGGCAGAUACUGGAAACGGUCUAUUUUCUCUCCAUUUAUGACACCCCUCUUGCUUCUGUAAGUAUUGCUUUGCAAUUGUCCUCACUGCCUUGCAAAUCACUCAGAGCCCUGCCGGCAGAUCUGAGAUAAUAUCUCUAAUUGAAAGUGAGAGGUUGUCUGAUUUGCCUAGUUUAGGAUGAGUCACUUGUAUGUUUGAGAAGUGAAGUCCCAGAUUCUGUUAUUGAUACUGGAAACUGUACAGAAGGAAUGAGUCUGGAGUUUAGAACACACAUCAUGAAUCUCACACCAGUGAUGCUCUGGCUGUUCAGAGGGAUGGAACAAGAAACAAAUCUCUAAGGUGGAGGUUUUUGUGAAAAAUCUCAGAUUUUGUUAGAGAGGUCUUUUGAGUACAUAACAUAUUGAACUUUAAUAUUAUGGACUUGAAAGAAAAUAUUUCCUUUGGAGUAGGAAGCCUCUGUUAUGUUUUGGAAGAAUUUUCCAGUAAAUCAUCUAACAGCUGCUUUACUGUACAGGCCUUGAAAUUUUAUCCUUUCAUUGGUUACAUACGCUUUUGCCUUUGGAAACUUCACAUGCUUCUCUUUACCAGUAAUAUUUUGUUCCCAAAAUAUCAGCUCCCAGGGAGGAUUUCAUAAAGCCUGACCCAACAAGAAAUGUUUUUGAGCAAACCUUCUGGAUAUCUUUGGCUAGGUACCAUGCUCUAUGUAAGUACACUCUAUGUAAGAUUAUUAAAAUCCAAAAAGCCAGCCUACACAGAUAAUGGGUUUGUGGCAAAAGAACAUUCUAACCAUCUCUUAACAUAAAGGCAUCUUGUAUCUGUGAGUGUGGCAACAGUGAUUGCACUGGGUACUAGUAGGGAUGUAACGUGAGGGAGCCUGUGUGUGUGUUUGCAGUGGGAAGGUGUGAUGGCACAAAGCCCUGGCAGAAAUAUGACCAGUGGCAAUUGUCCCCUUCAGGUGGCAGGUGGAAGAUGGCCUUGACUGAGAGGGAGACACUCAACAAAUACCUCCAAAAGGGAAUAGAAAGGGAAUAGCUUGCUUGGUGCCACAUUAUUGAAGUAAGCUUGCAAUUCUUGAAGUUUGUUGCACAUGAGGGUCACGUGGAAGGUAAAUGCUCCAGAAUAGAGUCAUGAUGUGUUGAUUUCUAGAAAGGGUCUGCUGGCUAGUGAUGAUUGAAAAACAGAAAAAAAAAAAAAAUGAGGCUGGAAACUCACCAAGCAUGACUUCAGUUUGUGGAGCAGAGUUAUUGAAGUCCUUUAAUGGAGGAAGAUUCCCCACAGACAGUGUUAAGAACAAAGUGGGGCUGGAGAGGGGAGAGCAACAAGCUUUGCUCUAACAGGCCCAUCUGACACUGGUGACGGUUCUUAUGGGGUGGAAAUAGAGGCAGGCACGUGGCUUCAAGUGUGGUUGGUCAGUGGAAGAGUUUUCAAGGAGAUUUUUCAGUGGCAAUUUGAAGAGAAUAAAAACAGGAGAGGAGCCAAUUAAAACUUUGGCAGUACAUGAAAAAUUUGCAAAUCGUUGGUGAACCUGGGUUCAAUUUUGGCUCAUCUAUUGACUUUGAUCCAGAAUAACCCCUCAUUUUUGAAAUUCUAUGCAUUGGCAUAUUAAGAGGUUAAUAAAUAAAAUAGCUCUUUCUUACUUACAUUCCCAGUGAGCCAGUCAGAUCAAUGGAGAUAAAAAAUAUCAGUGUGGGGGGCCCUGGGUGGCUCAGUUGGAUGAACAUCUGACUUUGGCUCAGGUCAUGAUCUCAUGGUUCAUGAGUUCAAGCCCCACAUCAGCCUCACUGCUGUCAGCACAGAGCCUGCUUCAGAUCCUCUGUACCCCCUUCUCUCUGCCCCUUCCCCACUUGCACCGUCUCUCUCAAAAAUAAAUAAAUCUUUAAAAAACGUAUAUCAGCAUGAUUACUGACAGCAAUUUCAUUGGAGGGUAUGAGUAAGUGGUUAAAUAGGCUUGCUAAGAUUCUGCACCCUUCUUCUUGGCCUUGAUUCAGCCCAGCUGAGGGAAACUUGCAUUUGCAAAGUGUACUCUUACCCAUGAUCCUUGUGUCACAUUAGUUCAGGCAUGGAGGGAAGAAAAGAACAAACUCCUAGUAGUUACUCAUUUAAACAUUGUUUACUAGAGAAGCUCUCCUCAAGUGAAACCGAUGGAUUUAAUCCACUGGUGAAACAAUAGGAUAAGAGUUACCCAUCUAAGUGGUGCUCUUCUGUUUUAAAAAAUCUGUACUUUUUAACACGAUGGCACAAGUAGAAAAUUAUAUGAUUCAUACAUGACGGUAGGAAAAAGUGUACGAGUCUGUUUGAAGUUGGAGAAGCAACGAGCUUAAGGGCUCUGGGCUUCACAAGACUUUACAACCUUGGUUCACCUGUGACCCAUUUGUGGCACACAGUUGUGCACAGGUGUGGGAUCCAGGCAGACAGGCCUAAAGGAUCUGCCACCUAUUUUGUUACUAUAUUUUCUGAGGAAAUCAUAAGAUUUUUCUCCCUUUAAUUUGUUAAUCUGUAUGGUCUCUUUCCAAUAACGAUUUCCUCUCUGAUACCAACUAGGUGUCCUACAACUCAAUUUAAUCCUGCCACUAACUACCCUGAAUUAGCACAGACCCCAUAGGUUAAGGGCUCAGUGCCACAAGACUGUCCUCUCACUUCAGGUCCUGGUCGCAAGUUGCUGGGGUCCCCAUAAGGCUGGCCAACUGGCUAUAAAUAUAAGACUUCCCAUGACCACCCCCCUCCCAGGUUUGAUCAUUUGAUGGAAUGAUUCAUAGAACUCAGGAAAGCUCUAUAAUUAUGAUCACCGUUUUAUGACAAAGGACACUACUCGGGAAUAGCCAAAUGGAAGAAAUGCAUGCAACAAGGUAAUAGGAGGCAGAGCAGGGCAGGCACAGAACUUACAUGUGCUCUCCUGGCACACCACCAUCCCAGCACACUGAUACUGUCACCCACCUGGUUGCUGCCCAGACCUCGCUGUUUAAGAAUGUUUGAUCCAGGUUUCAGUAGGUAGGCAUGAUUGAUUCACUCAUUGAACAUUGUGAUUGAACCAUCUCCAAUCCCCCUGCAUUCCCCUCCUCAAAUGUCAAGGGCUGGGACUGAAACUUCCAAACCUCUAAUCCUACACUUGGUCUUUCUGGUGAUCAGCUUUUAUCCUGAAGGUUUGGUAGAAAGGGGUUCAUUAUGAAUAACAACAUACACUCCUUUCCCUCAGGAAACGCCAAGGAUUUUAAGAGCUUUGUGCCAAGAACAUGAGACAAAGACCAAAUAUAUUUUUUAUUAUACCACAACGAGGUAAAUAUAUAUUAAUAGAUUUUUCUGAUGUUAAACAAUUCUUACAUUCUUGUAUUUUGUAUACUCAAUUCACUUUGGCCUGCUAGUAUUUUAUUUAGGGUUUUCCCAUUGUGAGAACGGCCUAUAAUUUUCCUUGUUCAUAUUGUCAUUG